UUCAUUUUAACUUAAUCUAGUCAGUAUCAUACUUCACCAUGCAGAGCAUUCUCCUAAUUGUUUUCAUCUUUGUAGUUAACUGUAGAUCUGAGCCGCAUUGCUCAAAGUUUCAUUACGAGGAACAAUUGCUAGGAAAGAUGAUUAAGACGGAAAUUCUUGUUGAAAAUAUGAAGAAACAAAUGGAUGAUAUCCAAAAUCAAGUGAGCGAAUCGCUUGCAAAUCUAAAAGAGAAGACAAAUGCCUGGAAAUCUGAAAUUAAAACAAUGCAAGAGGACAGUAAAGCCAAACUAGCUGAAAUGAGUGAGAAAGCAAGCAGUGAGCUUGACAAAAGUAUACAACGUAUAGAGGAUCUCAAAGUGGGAGUAGUAUCGCCCAAUGUUGCCUUUAAUGUCAAAGAAGUCACAGUAAAUAGCGUGGGAACUGGUAGUACUAUCGUGUUCAAAGACACAAUCCUAAACCUCGGCGGGGCUUACAGUCCCGACACUGGAGAAUUCACAGCUCCGUACGGAGGCAUUUACCUGUUCACUGUUCAGUUAUGUAUAGACGGUAGUAAAUAUAUCGAUUAUGGAUUGGUUGUUGAUGAAGUCUAUAUGAAUACAGCGAGGUAUCAGGACAACUAUCAUGCUGUUCGUUGCUAUGGUUCAGCUACAACAGUCUAUGUGAAGCCGGGUGGCAAAGUUUGGGUCAAAGUCAUCAGCCGGACAGCACGCGGAAACAUUUUGUUUGACAGCAGUUCAAACUACUGGAAUACAUUCUCAGGAGUUCUCAUUCGUGCUGAUUAAUAAUAUUUCUGAAAUACAAUCAGAAUAUGUGGUUAUCUACAUAUAUCUCAUGUUUUAUAACUAAGUUUAUAACUCACUCUACUGUUCUUUGUAUGUGUUCAAUCCAUCCAUUUCAAUUUCUUCCUCAUAGAACGAUAUUUUAGAAGCAUAGAAGGCAGCAAAACAAAACAGCCUGGUCAUCUUAACUUUUAGUGUUGACCACUUAUUCCAACGUAAACAUUUUGUGUGGAAUAAGUAGUAUGUAAGGAAAUGAAACACAGAAAAAAGUCCUCAAAAUUACCAUGGCACAUUUUUCAGAUACCGGUAUUGCAUCUGGAAUUCUAAUUAGCGACUAGUACGUGUUGUAGCCGUUACUGUGUACCAUAUUGUUCAACUACUAGCAUACUAUAGCAUAAAUAUUUGUUUUGAAUAUCAGAAUAAAAGGAUAUCUUAAAGGGUACUAGCACGUACUGGUAGGCGCAAAGCGUUUGGAUGUCGAAAUUCAGAAUAUAUGUGUCAAAAUUUAGAAAUUUAGAAUAUAAGGUUUCUUACCUAAUUAAUACAUACAUAUUUCUAAACCAAACUCGUCGGCAUCUGAAGUAAAAGGGGUUGAACACUAAAUAUAUUUAUCUCAAAGUCAGAAACAAGAAAAACAAUCGCAGGGGAUUUAUGAAACAAAUUUUUUUAACAAUGUUACUGUAGAUAAUAUUUACUUGAAAUUCAUAAACAGUAUAGAUUGCUUCUUAAAUUGCUUUAUAAUGUAAUGCAUGCAUGUGAAUAGAGAAAUGAUACAAGUAUGUCAUUUAAUUGAUUUUCUUUAACAUAAAUUUGCAAUACUUUGUUAAAUUAACAUCUAAAGGAAGCUGCUCUUAAAUAUCGCCUAAUUUUUAGAGUUUGGCUUGAAGACUUUUUUCCUGUAUUGCAUAAGUAACUCAAGAUUAUAAGUUAUCAGUCAAAUUUUAUGUUGGAAUUAGUUUAAGGUUCUGACAUUAUUUCUAGUAAUAAACGGUCUAAAUGGCAGACUCGGUUUUAUUGAGUCUGUUUAUAGUAGUAAUUGAAAGUAUAGCACCCAAAGUUUCCUCCCAGACCGGCUAAAGCGGUAUAACAUUGCAUUGCAUAGACUCCGUGGUCCCAAAAGACAACACUGGGUGUAGAAAAGGUUUCACGGCAUAUUUUCUUUAAAAUUCCAGCCAACUGUUCUGAAGAACAUUUUCGUUCGAGUAAGCUUUGGUUAAAUCUUGACACGCGGUUCAAGACUAGAACCUGAUCAGACUGAAAUCGUUAUUGCACCUUCACAAUCCUGGCAACAUGGCCAUUUGAAACAUGGCCAUUUGGGGUUUCAUAUGUAUAUUUGAAUUCCUACCAACACGGGAUGCUUUCAGCCAAAUGCGAAUUAAUUCCAUCAAAUAAUUCUCAUGUCGCUUCAAAGAAAUAUCUUAUCUUUAAAGUGCCAUCCAGGACCCAAUGUAGCUAAAAAUCAUUAUUUUUACAAUUUUGAAUUCCCAACACUAAAGGAUGACUUCAGCAAAUUUUUGUUGAUUUCCAUUUAGCAGUUCAAACCAAGAAAUUGUUACCUUAAGCGUAUUGCUCCCAUGAAAGGUAUGUGCCAAUUAGAUUUGAAGUUUAUUUUGAAAUACCGAUAGAGAAAUGGGCGGACGGGUGAUGCACGCCAUAAAACUAAUAUCUAACCUCGGUUCUACUGCUGUGUGUUAGAAGUCGUCUCAUACAUUCUAUGACAUAACUAUUACGAAAUAACUGCAUGUACUAAGAAAUAUAGAUAAGGAGCCACAUACUUAGGAAUUUUAUACAGGACUUCCAUGAAAAUUAUUAUGAAGUUACGAGCCUUCUUUUGUGACUUUUUGAAACAGGCGGAGAUCAUAAAAUGAUUAAAGUUAUAAUUAUGGUUUCCAGUUUUGACUUAUUUUAAAAGGUUAUGACAUGUCAGUAACAACAUAUUAUAUGCCAAGUUUCAAAAAUAUAUAAUCGCUCUUUAUAAGUUAUUUGUUAAGUGUGUACGUUGCUGAAUUGGUCAUAUAAUGACAUUAGUUUUGCCACAAUAUGAAAUACUUCGGUUUGGGAAAAAAACUAACAGGUUGUCAGGUAGUUAUGUUUUUACAAUCUAACUGGUAAGGUUCACAUACUUUUAAAAUGUACACAGCACUGCUUGCAAAAUAAUACAUACCUUAUUUAUAUAUUGUUUAGUGAUCAGACAGAUAUAAACUAACACAGUGUAGACAUCAAGGACAACUUUUGAGACAUCUUUAGGGUGACACAUGAACUGUUGUGAACCCAGGUAUCUGUAACAAAAUACUCAGCCUAUUCAUUUGUAUGCAAUUUGAAGCCAUAGUUUGAAUAAUGUGACAUAUAUACUUUAGUGUAAGUUGAAACAAAAUACUUUAUCACGACAAAACCAAUAUUCAUUUUAACAGUUUGUUGAAUUUUCGAAACGCGGUCGACAAAAUGGCGGCUGAGAUAAAAUUAUUUUUAUGCGUCAUAUUAAUUUUCUUUACUUUAAAAUGUGUCCGGACUUUAAAUAAUGAUAAUAAUGAUGCUGAUGUUGCUGAGAGAUUGCUAAUACUUGAAGACUUACUAGCUGAAAUGGAAAACAUCGUGCUGGAAACAGAUGUUAAAGUAUCCGAAGCUUUAGACAAACUUGAUGACAGUAAAGACACGUUGAUGCGGGAUGUUUCCCGUUUACAAAAUACAGCUGCGAAACAUGCGAGAAAAAGUUACAAGAAGAGUAGAAAAGACGUGAAGAAGGAACUUAGCUAUGACAGCACCAUUUUGAAAGAAAUGAUUCAAACCGUGGAAAAUAUCAAUACAAAUAAAAUUGUUGGAGACAGAAGUGAUGAGAUAGUAGAAGAUACCAGUUCUUCGGAAAUUAUAUCUAACCAAACUCAAGGAACUCUGGACAGUGAAAUUGUGCAAUCAGAAGAUAUGUCUGAAUCACGUAUUAUGUUUAAGGCCACAAUGUUGACGGAACAACAAUACCAUCCAGGUGAUACGAUUAUUUUUCCAAAAACAAUCAACAACUUCGGAGAAGGGUAUGACUCGGACUACGGAAUAUUUGUAACACCUCGGAGAGGGACAUAUUACUUCACGGUUCAACUACAUUUGUACGGUGGUAGAGGUGUCGACGUUGGAGUAUUUGUUGGUGAUGAAUGCAUCACCUGGACAAAAAUGACCCCAUAUCAUGACUCCUGCAAUAACUUAGCGGCGAUUACAAGAUUAAAUGUCGGUGAUGUGGUUUACGUGAAACAGUUGUCAGAUCCGUGGGGAAAAGUAUUCAAAUCACUGAAGUCAGACCUCUGGAACACAUUUUCGGGUGUUUUAAUUAGAUAGUGAUAUACAGUAUUUGACCGGCUGGUUUCAUCGGAAACGGCACAAGUGAAAUAAAAUGUGAUUUUUUUCAUUUUUCAAAAGAUAGUUUACUAUGUGUAAUGAUAACAUUUCAUCCAGGAGAAAGAGCAUCUAAGUAUCAGCAAAUUGAGCAAAACACGCAUUUUCCAUAUUAAAAAUAUCUAAUGUAUUGUUAAAUUCCCGGUACCAAACCAGAAAGAAAAUGUCAUUAUACAGGCUAUGAAAUGCCCAAAGGUAUACUAUAAAAACUAAAAAAAAAUCUAAAUAAAGCAAUAGAUCAAAUAUGA